rnacentral:rRNA from 1 species
UACGUAGGGGGCGAGCGUUGUCCGGAAUUAUUGGGCGUAAAGGGCUCGUAGGCGGCUUGGCAAGUCGGCCGUGAAAACCCGGGGCUCAACCCCGGGACGCCGGUCGAUACUGCCAUGGCUUGGGUCCGGUAGAGGAGAAUGGAAUUCCCGGUGUAGCGGUGAAAUGCGCAGAUAUCGGGAGGAACACCAGUAGCGAAGGCGGUUCUCUGGGCCGGUACCGACGCUGAGGAGCGAAAGCGUGGGGAGCAAACAGG